rnacentral:rRNA from 1 species
GACGAACGCUGGCGGCAUGCCUAACACAUGCAAGUCGAACGGAGAUUAUUUCGGUAAUCUUAGUGGCGAACGGGUGAGUAACGCGUGGGCACCCUGCCCUCUAGAUGGGGACAACAUCCCGACAGGGGUGCUAAUACCCAAUUUGACAGCAAUCUCGCAUGCGGCUGCUGUGAAGGAUGGCCGCUAUUUAUAAGCUAUCUCUAGACGAUGGGCAUGCGUCUGAUUAGCUAGUUGGUGGGGUAACGGCCUACCACGGCGAUGUUCAGUAGCCGGUCGGAGAGGAUGAACGGCCGCAUUGGGAGGGAGACAGGCCCCAGACUGCUACGGAAGGCAGCAGUGGGGAUUCGGGCGCAAGGAGUGAAGGACUGAGGGAGCAAUGCGGCGUGAGUAAGGAAGAAAGUCGUUCGGUGGAGCUCUUUUGUUUAUGACGAAUCUGCAGACUGUGAAGAAGGAGCGGUAGUGACGGUAGUAAACGAAGAAGCCACGGCUAACUACGUG